rnacentral:rRNA from 1 species
UAACACGUAGGUAACCUGCCCAUGUGUCCGGGAUAACUGCUGGAAACGGUAGCUAAAACCGGAUAGGUAUACAGAGCGCAUGCUCAGUAUAUUAAAGCGCCCUUCAAGGCGUGAACAUGGAUGGACCUGCGGCGCAUUAGCUAGUCGGUGAGGUAACGGCCCACCAAGGCGAUGAUGCGUAGCCGGCCUGAGAGGGUAAACGGCCACAUUGGGACUGAGACACGGCCCAA